UGAGAAGAGCGUCGGGCGUGCCAGCCAGGGUGCAUGAUUUGUUUGUUUCUUCCAGCUUAAAUUAUCACCGUUGUCACUGUUGUUAAUUAAACCGGUGGGGAUCUCUUUGUUGUAUGUACCUCGAUUAAUUAGUUUUUGCUUGUUGUUAUCAGUGUUAGACGCACAGCAAUAUCAGUUCAGUCGAUCGGCUACCCUUUGUAAAACCGCUGUAAGAACUUCCACCAUUUGCCACGCAUGUGCUCUGUUUCUUGGAUGAUGCUACUAUUAGUGGUGUGAGCAUCAGCCUGAUUCUGGUAUUAUCCAGUUGGUUGGUUAGCUUUAAUCAUAUCACUUGAGCCAAUCAUUGUCUGCGGAGUUGAUUAUGGGAGAAUUAUCAGAUUAAUGGUGUCGUAAUCAGCAAGUAAUAGCAAGCAUAGUCGCGUACUAGCUUUGCUGCUACUGUUGCUGUAGAUAGUGCUCCUGCAAUAAUUGGUGCUUGAUGGCGACGGCUCUCCAGAGCCUUCCACUCGCCUCUGUCUGCACCUACUACCAUCGCACGCUUAUCCGCGCACUGUUUUGUUGUGUUUUGCGGGUCGGGGUUUACGUUUUCGAGUGUUCGUCUUUUCGUUUAAUUAAGGGGGGGUGUUUAGUUCAAAAACUACUCUCAAAAAUAUUAUAUCAAAUCAAAAAUAUUAUAUCAAAUGUUUAGACAUCUAAAUAAAAUAUUAAAUAUACAGCCACGUUAAAACAAACUCCACAGUUACCGAGUUCGAACUCGUGAGACGAAUCUUUUGAGACGAAUCUUUUAAGCCUAAUUAGAACAUGAUUAAGUGCUAAUGAUGAAUCAAUUAGACUCAAAAAGAUUCGUCAUGAUUAAGUGCUAAUGAUGAAUCAAUUAGACUAAAAAGAUUCGUCUCAUGGUUUUUAGGCAGAAUCUGAAAUUUGUUUUGUAAUUAGAUCAUGUUUAAUACUUCAAAUGUGUGUAUAAAGAUUUGAUGUGAUGUUUAUGAAAAACUUUUUACAAACUAAACAAGCCCUAAAUAAACAAAAUGAUAUUUAUAAAUAAAAAAUAAUUUAUAUAUAAACUUUUUACAUACAUAUUUCUAACGAUAUACUGUCUCCGUUUCAAAAUAAGUUUAUUUUUUAAUUUUUGGAUACACUUCAUCUUAUUUAAAGUUUUUUAUGAUUAAUAUUUUUAUAGUUAUUGCAUAAUAAAACAUGAUGGUGUUUUAUAUGAGACUAAUUUUUUAAAAGUUUUUUGCAAAUUUUUUAAAUAAGAUGCAUGAUGAAACGUCGAACAGAAAUCAAAAAAUAAAGUAAUUGUAGGUAGUAAAUAGCAAUUUCAAAAAUAAAAAAUCCUAAAAUAUAGAUUUAACAUAGAAAAACUAAAUUAAGUCCAUGUUUAGUUCCAAAAACUUUUUCCAAAAAUAUCAUAUCGAAAUCAUAUCGAAUUUUUGUACAUUUAAAUGGAGCAUUAAACAUUGAUAAAAAUAAAACCUAAUUGCACGGUUAUGCAGAAAAUCGUGAGACGAAUCUUUUGAGCCUAAUCGGUGCGUGAUUAGCCAUAAGUGUUGCAGCAACUCACAUUUGCUAACGAUGGAUUAAUUAGGCUCAAAAGAUUCGUCUCGCAGUUAAUUAGCGAAAUCUAUAAUUUGUUUUAUAAUUAGACUACGUUUAAUACUUUAAAUAUGUAUCCGUAUAAUUGAUGUGAUGAUUUUGCAAAAAAAAUUUGCAAAGUGAACGGGGCCUAGGCCUUGUUUAGUUUGCAAAAAAAUUUUGCAAAAACAUCACACCAAGUUUUUAAACACAUUUUAGUAUUAAACACAGCCUAAUUACAAAACAAAUUUCAGAUUCCGCCUGAAAACCGCAAGACGAAUCUUUUGAGUCUAAUUAAUCCGUCAUUAGCACAUAUUGGUUACUGUAGCACUUAUGUCUAAUCACGUUCUAAUUAUGAUUAAAAGAUUUGUCUCACGAUUUUCUCCAUAACUAUAUAAUUAGUUUUAAUGUUCAUUUAUAUUUAAUGCUUUAUUUAGAUGUCUAAAGAUUCGAUGUGAUGUUUUUGAAAAUAAACAUGACCUAAGCACACAGACGAGCGGAGGGUAGUAUUUUCUCUGUCCUAAAAUAAAUUAAUUUUUUACUUUUUAUCUAUAUUUUUUUAUUAUUCGUCUUAUUUAAAAUUGUUUUGUGAUUAAUAUUUUUAUUUUUGUUAGAUGAGAAAUUAUGAAUAGUACUUUACGUGUGACUAAUUUUUCUUAAUUUUUUGAAAUUUUUCAAAUAAGACGGAUGGUUAGACGUCGGACAUAGAAACCGAAGAAUUGGUUUUUGGACACAGAGAGAGUUGACGGCUAUUUUGCGCCAGACUGGCAGUGCACAGUUAAAUUGCAGAAUAGUGCUACGGUGUGUACUGUGCGUACCACGAGUUAGAAAUGGAGAAAAGACUGGCAGAGCUGGUAGAGCUGGUAGCUUGGUACGGAUACGAGUAGCAGUGUAGCGCUCCUGUAGAUAGUACUACUAUUAGUAUAGGUGUAAGCUAGACCGUGAACUCGCUUAGGGACUGUUUGAAUGGGCUAAACUUCUUAGCCCCAUGUCAUAUCGGCUGUUUAGAUAUUAAUUUAAAAGUAUUAUAUAUAGACUAAUAAAAAAACUAAUUUCAUAACUGAGUGGUAAUCCGUGAAACGAAUUUUUUAAGCCUAAUUAAUCCGUAAUUAGAGCAUGUUUACUGUAUCAUCAUAUAGGCUAAUCAUGGAUUAAUUAGGCUUAAUAGAUUUAUUCCGUGAAUUAGUCCAAGAUUAUGGAUGGGUUUUAUUAAUAGUCUACGUUUACUAUUUAUAAUAAGCGUCCAAACAUUCAAUGGGAUAAGGACUAAAAAUAAGUCACUUGUCCUAAACGCCACCUUAAACGGGUUAUCUAGUGGUUAUCUGGUUCAUUAGCUUAUAAGCACAGCUACAAUAGUAAACUAUAAGCUAGCUAUAAACAUAUUUUAAAUAGAUAAAGAAAGGAGAGAGAGAGCAGUGAGCUACUAAUUUGUAUCUAGCUACAGCGUGGGCUCUAAGACACACAGUAUGUUUAUGUAUUAAUGUUUUAUAAGUAAAUAUUGUAUAAUUGUCUGCGGAUUAAAUAUAGAUAAAUUGAAGUUAGUAGAUAGCUAUCCUAUUGAACUUGCUCUAAGCGGGUGACGGACGGGUGCACUUACACCCCUUAACUACUUAACUACUAGCACUAGAAUUGGAGUAUCACAUUUUUUUUUGUGUGCGUUCUGGAGUACCGGUAGAUAUGAAAUUUUUUAUUUUUCAACCAUUUUAACAAAUAAUUGUAUUACUAAACCUCCCGGGGAAAUUUUUUCCAAAACUAAACUUUUUGGCCAUGCCAGUGUUGAUGGCGUGGCAAGACAACGCUGUCAUGCAACGAAAUUGGCCUAUAAUGGCGCGGCAGACUUGCCACGCUAUUGUCGGUGGUGUGGGAAGCCUUUUCGCCACGCUAAUGUUUGUGGCGUGGCUAAAAAGUUCAUACACACUGGAAAUAUUUCCCCGGAGGUUUAGUAAUAAAAUUAUUUGAUAAAAAGGUUAAAAAAUAAAAAAAUUUCGGUAGAUAUAUGUCACGCCCAAAAAUUUCUCACACAAAUUUCUGAACUUAAUUGUGUAUUAAAAUCCUUGUCCAGAACCAGCCAGGGUAAAAAAAGACAAUGUUGAUUACAUAACCAUCGUUCUUAUAAACAACUUAAAAUAACACUUAUUCUAACGAAAAUGCAGCGGAAAAGAAAAACGUAGACUAGCUUCAGCGGGUACGGCUCCAGUCCACAGGCAACGCUUCGACGGUGGAAUAGCUCACUUCUGAGAGUCACCUCCAUCGGAGUCAACUUCAAACUCUGAAGGAAAAAAUUGAACAAGGUUGAAUACAAACCACCAUACCCAACAAGCAGCAUGUAAAAGAGGGUAAUAAAUGAUGCAAAUGAUCAACAAGGGUAAGCUAUGGUUAGUUGAAAUAAAGCAAUAUUUAAUAAUUAACAGCGGUUAAACUAAAUAAAGGUAAUUAAGUAAAUAAACGAAUAAAUAAAUAACAGUUGUAAAAUAUCACAUCACUGUCCAACGUUACACCACGCUGCGACAGGCCCAACCACUACUCAACACUACACCACGUUGUAGUAGUUCCCAAGUGAAAGCCCGUUUACCCAAGUCAUUAAAGGUUCGACUAAGCACAGUGAAGCUGGCAGCUCACACUUAACCGUGGGCACGGCUAUUCGAAUAUGUUUACUUUGAUCAGAGUUGUACUACCGUGCCCACAAGACAUAGUCCCACUACACUUAAACGUGCGCUGACACACCACCAUGGCAUACCAAAAGGGAACUAUGAUAGGACCCGUCACAUAACCCUCCCUAUUCAAUCUCCCUAUUCAAUCGUACCACACUUCAGGUUUCGCCCCCUCCUUUACUCCAAGUCGGGCAGCCCCUUCUUGUGCCUAGGUGAAUCCAAUAGCAGCAUAGGCCAUCGUUACCCCACGACUCCCAUCCAUACUCCAUCACGCUCACUUUUAACUGGGUACGUCGAAUAGUUCGUAAUUACACUCCAAAUCCCACCGUUACUCAUUCUGGCUCGUGGUUACCACGGACAUAACUUCUAGGGUUUCCCGCGAACCAGUUCUUAAUUGUCAUGGGUGCGACUCUCAAAACCAAGCACCCACAACCCACCAUUAUCAAUAUUUUAGUUGGCAUUAACCCGUACCGGGUAAUGAAUCAAAAUUAAUAGCUAUUCAGAACUAUUAAUGAUUAAAGGGUGAUCCCCUAAGCUACUUGUUCUAAGCACGACGAAGCAUUAACCUAGGCCUAUUAUCUAUUCAAAUUACCUCAGGUAUAACAUGAAUAACGAUGGAUAAACAACAUCAUAAUAAUAGGUUACCCAUAAAAUAAAUACAAUAAAUACUUUGAGUAAAAUAAUGCAGGUUUGAAUAAAUAUAGCAAACACUUUGCAAUAAUAGGUUCAAUAUGAUCAAGAUGAGUGCCACUUGUCUUGCUCUGGCCCUUGGGGUACUUCGGCGAUGAUCUCGAAAUAAACUGGUGCUUCGGCGUGGUCCGAAUCUAAGCGACAAAGCACAAAAAUAACUAAACAGGCACAAACUCUAGCAAAAGAAAGGAUUUUUAAUGGAUUGUUGACAAUUUUAUGAAUUUAAUGAAAGUUGAAUGGACUUAAACGGAGACCGAAUGAAUUAGUUAUGAAUUUUAGAAGUUUAACUGUGUUUUCAACUAAACAGAAAAGUCCUAAAUCAAUUAUUGCGCAAUUAAGGGAGGCUGUUGACGUCAGCAGAGGGAGGAGGCGGCUGACAGGUGUGGUCCACCUGCCGGUGACAGUGGGGAGAGAAAGGAAUUUGACAGAAGGGCCCAAGAGGAGGAGAGGGGGAGAGAGAGGGAAGGGGGCCCGACGGGUGGAGACCAUCGGUCGAUGACCCGGGGAAGAGAGGGGAGGGAGACGGCGCUGGCCGAGUAGGGGAGGGCGGUGGCGUCCGNNNNNNNNNNNNNNNNNNNNNNNNNNNNNNNNNNNNNNNNNNNNNNNNNNNNNNNNNNNNNNNNNNNNNNNNNNNNNNNNNNNNNNNNNNNNNNNNNNNNNNNNNNNNNNNNNNNNNNNNNNNNNNNNNNNNNNNNNNNNNNNNNNNNNNNNNNNNNNNNNNNNNNNNNNNNNNNNNNNNNNNNNNNNNNNNNNNNNNNNNNNNNNNNNNNNNNNNNNNNNNNNNNNNNNNNNNNNNNNNNNNNNNNNNNNNNNNNNNNNNNNNNNNNNNNNNNNNNNNNNNNNNNNNNNNNNNNNNNNNNNNNNNNNNNNNNNNNNNNNNNNNNNNNNNNNNNNNNNNNNNNNNNNNNNNNNNNNNNNNNNNNNNNNNNNNNNNNNNNNNNNNNNNNNNNNNNNNNNNNNNNNNNNNNNNNNNNNNNNNNNNNNNNNNNNNNNNNNNNNNNNNNNNNNNNNNNNNNNNNNNNNNNNNNNNNNNNNNNNNNNNNNNNNNNNNNNNNNNNNNNNNNNNNNNNNNNNNNNNNNNNNNNNNNNNNNNNNNNNNNNNNNNNNNNNNNNNNNNNNNNNNNNNNNNNNNNNNNNNNNNNNNNNNNNNNNNNNNNNNNNNNNNNNNNNNNNNNNNNNNNNNNNNNNNNNNNNNNNNNNNGGGGUAGCUGGGCCGAGGCGGCCUCGCUGGGAGAGAAGAGCGCGUGCGGCCGCGGGAGAGAGGGAGGUAGGCCGCGCGGCUGGGCCGGCCCAGGACGAGGUGAGGGAGGAGAAGGAGGAGGAGGGAGGAAGGAGAGAUUGGGCUGCGACCCAAUCCGGAAAAAGAAAGAAAAAAGAAAGAAAAGGGGAGAAAAAAGGACGGCAAAAAGGAAAAAAGGAAAGCCUCAGAUUUUUGCCGAGUUUUAAAUUAAUUUUUUGUGUGAAAUUUUAUACUCUGCCGUUUGAGUUAUAUCCCGUUACGAUUUGCGUACUUCUAAUUCAAAUAAAUUAAUUCCUUUAGAGGGGUUUUUCCUGAGUUAAUUAAGCCAAUUAUUAUUUUGCCGAGUUUUAAAUUAAAUUUUGGGCGAAAUUUUAUACUCUGCCGUUUGAGUUUAAAUCCCGUUACGAUUUGCGAACUUCUGGUUCAAAUAAAUUAAUUCCUUUAGAGGGGUUUUUUCUUAGUUAAUUAAGCCAAUUAUUAUUUACGAAUUUCUUUUACGGAUUUAGGCUUAGGAUUAAACUCCGGGUGUGACAAUAUAUGAUAUACAAUUGUACACUACCAUGCCCCCUUUCUGUUUCAAAGUUGAACAAGCCUCACUAACGUAUGAAGGUUCUUUAGAUCAAAGUUUUUUUAAAAAAAAAGUACAAUAAUUUAAUCCAGAUAGAUAAAUUCUAGGUAAACUGUAUUUGGGGCUACCUUUUAUUACUUAACUUUUCGUUGAAUCACUGUAAACAAUAUUUCUCAUCGUAUAUGCCUUCAUUUUGCAAAAGUGUGAAGUACAUCUAGAUGAGAGUUAACUGGUGUAAUAUAAUAGAGCCGAUGUAUUUGAAGUCAUUUAUGCAUGCCAAAAAAAUAUUUGGGAUGGUUUAAACCACAAUAAAUAUAAAUUUACUCCGUCUAAAACGAAAAAAUAUGUUUAAGCAUAGUCCAAAGUAAAAUCUAGAGAAUAAAAUAUGGUUCAAUGUUUAAUUGACUAUAAAUUAUGUGCAAGUCAUUUGGGUUGUUUGAUUCAUAACUAACGUUGCAAACUUUUUGCGGUAAUAAGAAUGUGGAAUAAAAAGUCUAUAACAAAUGGAAGUGACAAGCUAUAACUAUAGUGAUUAAGCAAACAAAAACGUCAGACGACGUAUUGUGUGGCACAUCUAAGAUGUGAAUAUGUGAUGCGGUAAGUUGAGAUUUUAACCAAACAUGGUCCGUAGGAUUAAUUUUAUUUAGAGUAAAAAUACAAUAGGAAACCUUGCAUGAAGUCCAAAAUCAUGUUUCAAAAGAUUCUGUAAUAAAUUAAUAUAGAAUUCUAAAUUUACAUCAAGCACAUGUUUUAAGCAGAUUAAAUGGGUAGUUUUAUUUACUGUGGGGUUUCACAUGACAAAAAACUACCUAGACAGCCCUAAGUCAUAACUUUUCUCGUCUUAACCUAUCAAUUUCCAGUCUCAAUGUAUCUUUUGACAACAAAAAGGUCUGAUUUUAUACCGAACACACCACUCUCAAUUUUUCGAUCCAAGUACAUUACCAAAACUAUAUUAAAACAUGAACUCUGUAUAGACCCUCAACCAGGAUCUCCGUCUUCCAAAUAGGAUGAAGCCACUCAAAGAGAACUGUGCACACAAUGCAAGUGGUUUUGAGUGGGGUUCUAAGUGGGACUAGAUUCUUUUUUAUUACAGACUUCGGUCCUCCUCUCUCACGCUAUCUCCUCUCUCCCGUCACUCUCCUCUCUCUCUCCGUCCCUCAUCCUCUCCGACCUCGCCGGCGGCGAAGCGAGCCCAACCGACGACGGAUGGAGCUAGGGCGGCGGUAGCUCGAGGUCACCAGCGAUGGCCCGACCUUCAUGGUUGUUGCAGCGGCGCGCCGACCUCGGCAGAGUCAGGUCGCGAUCGGCGGUGGCAGGUGGACCACGGCGGGGACGCGCGGACCUCGGUAGCGACGGGCGAACUCAGCUCGGACAGGCGAACCUCGGCAGCCGCAGGACGACCUCGGCGUCUUUCUCGAGGGCGGACGUGUCCCGGCGGCAGAUCUCGGGGCUGGCGCAUCUUGGCGAUGCCUUCCUCGCGGCGGAGCUCGCUAGCAGCCACGUCCCGAUGAUGGAGCUCCACAGAUCUGGCCGGAGUUCACGCUGCAACAUGAUUCGUCACAUGACGUCUCUCUCCUCUCCCUGCACGCCUCUCUUCUCUCUCCGCAGCUUUUUGGCCUAGAGCAACCAUGCCUAUACUUAGGCCUUGUACAGUUCCAAAAAGUUUUUUUAAAAAAUAUCGUAUCGAAUUUUUGGACAUCUAAAUAAAAACAUUAAAUAUAGAUAAACCAAAAAACUAAUUGUACAAUUAUGGAUGCAUAAAUCUUGAAGAAAUCUUGAGACGAAUCUUUUGAGCCUAAUUAGCCCUUGAUUAGCUAUAAGUGCUAUAGUAAUCAACAUGUGUUAAUGACGGAUUAAUUAGGCACAAAAGAUUCGUCUCGCGGUUUCUAGGCUAGCAGUGAAAUUCGUUUUUUCAUUCGUGUUCCAAAACCACUUCCGACAUCCGGUUAAACAUUUAACGUAACACUUUUCUCAAAAAAAAAUUCAAUCUAAACACCACCUUAUUGUUUGAUCAUAGCUAUUAAAAAAAAUCUUUCAUUCGAGUCUUUCCCUAGAAUAACUGUCAUGCUCACUGUGACCCGGACUCAAGAAAACAGGUAAGGUGAAAUGUAGCACGCCACCACGUGACACUUCUUCUAAAAAAAUUUUUAAUCUAAACACCACCUUAGCGUUUGAUCAUAGCUAUUAAAAAAAUGUUUCGUUCGAGUCUUAAAGAUGUCCCUAGAAUAACUGUCAUGCUCACUGUAACCCGGACUAAGAAAACAGGUAAGGAGAAAUGUAGCACGCCACCAACACUAAGGUGGUGUUUAGAUUGAGAAAAUUUUUGGGAAAAGUGUCAUGUUAAAUUUUUGAUCAGAUGUCGGAGGGGCUAGCCUAGAAACCGCGAGACGAGUCUUUUGAGCCUAAUUAAUCCGUCAUUAGCACAUGUUGGUUACUGUAGCACUUAUGGGUAAUCAUGAACUAAUUAGGCUCAAAAGAUUUAUCUUAAGAUUUCUUCCAUAACUGUGUAAUUAGUUUUUUGGUUCAUCUAUGUUUAAUGCUUUAUUUAGGUGUUAAAAAUUUGAUGCGAUAGUUUUUUGAAAAACUUUUUAUCCAAACAGGGCGUAAAACCGUGGACGGGUGGGGUGGAGAUUAGUGAUUUGCAUGCUAGUUAAUUAUUAGCAAAUGGUGUAUGUGCCCAUGCAGCUAAGAGCAUGUAUCAUUGAGAGAAAAACGGUGAAGUUUGUUGCUGCAUGUACGUGUGGAUGCAUAGAGACGUGCAGUGAUUAGUGGGUGGUUAAGUGAUCGAGUGAGUGGCCGGAUGUGCGGCCAACGUGCUGUGAGUGUAUGCUAUUUAAGCAGUGUAUUAGCUUGUGUUUUGUGUUUUGUAAAGUGAAUAACAGGAGAGCUGGUGAGUGGUUGUGUGGUGCUGGCGUGCAGCACUAAAAAUUCCUUAGUCCAUUGUGUUUGUGCAUCUUCUGUGUGUGUGCUCGUGUGAGAGAAGGUGAGCUGGGCCAUCACUACACGGACCUGCCACCGGCGCUGCUGUCAGUAGUAGUAGUAGCAGAAGAGCCAUGUCGCGCGACAAUCGCCGCAUGCACGGAUAUACCGGAGCGGCGCGCGGCGGGGAGCCCCACUUCCACUUAGCAGGUCACUCACGCUCACGCAGGGCGCGGGGCCCGGCCGACCGAGAAGGCCCAGCGCAUUGCAUGCGUUUUCGAUCAUAUCCGCGGCCACGCCCGUCUCCAAUUCCGGUCGCCGGGUCACGCUCACAUGGCCUCGCUGUACCGCGGGCCUAUGCCUUACCCCCAUCACUCUCUCUCCUAUGAUGUGUCGCUACCUACCAAGCUUCGAUGGCACAAGCCCACACCUUUCCCUCUCUCCUCUUUGUAAUGACAGCACGGCGCCUCAAUAUAUAAAACCGGCCAGUCUCACGCUCGCGGCUCGCCCCUCCACAUCCAUCAGAGAAGAGAGAGAGAGACGAGACGAGAGCGCAGGAGAGCUCAGAGAGUGUGUGGUGUGUGUUGAGCUUGCUGAAAGGGGAGCGGCAAUGUCGAAGGAGGUGAGCGAGGAGCCGGAGCACGCGCGGCCCAAGGACUACACGGACCCGCCGCCGGCGCCGCUGUUCGACGUCGGAGAGCUCCGGCUGUGGUCCUUCUACCGAGCGCUCAUCGCGGAGUUCAUCGCCACGCUCCUGUUCCUGUACAUCACGGUGGCCACCGUCAUCGGGUACAAGGUGCAGUCCUCCGCCGACCAGUGCGGCGGCGUUGGCACGCUCGGCAUCGCCUGGGCCUUCGGUGGCAUGAUCUUCAUCCUCGUCUACUGCACUGCCGGCAUCUCGGGUCCGUGCUCCCUCGGCUUCUAGCUUCAGCUUGGAGCCUUGGAGUACAAAAGUUAUAACUAUGGCCGUGGAGCUAAAUGUACGUAGUGUGUGGGCAUGGUGGCGUGCAGGAGGGCACAUCAACCCGGCGGUGACGUUCGGGUUGCUGCUGGCGAGGAAGGUGUCGGUGAUUCGCGCGGUGAUGUACAUCGUGGCGCAGUGCCUGGGCGGCAUCGUGGGCGUGGGCAUCGUCAAGGGCAUCAUGAAGCACCAGUACAACGCCAACGGCGGCGGCGCCAACGUGGUGGCCAGCGGCUACUCCAACGGCACCGCCCUCGGCGCCGAGAUCAUCGGCACCUUCGUCCUCGUCUACACCGUCUUCUCCGCCACCGACCCCAAGCGCAACGCCCGCGACUCCCACGUCCCGGUACGCGUACAUCACACCACCUCACCUCGAUCUCCUUUUUCUCUGUGUGAACGUACUACGUAGCUCGUGCUAAGGGCUUGUUUAGUUCCCAAAUUUCUUUUCUAAAAAUAUUACAUGAAAUCUUUGAACAACUAAAUAAAAUAUUAAACAUAGAUGAACCAAAAAACUAAUUUCAUAAUUAUGAAAGAAAUAUAAAUAUUGAGACGAAUGUUUUGAGCCUAACUAAUUAGUUCAUGAUUAGCUAUAAAUGCCAUAGUAACCAACGUAUACUAAUGAUGAUGGAUUAAUUAGGUUCAAAAGAUUCGUCUCGGUUUCUAUGCUAACCGUGAAAUUCGUUUUUUAUUCAUGUUCAAAAAAUUCAAUCGACAUCUUAUCAAUCAUUUGACAUGACCAUUCUCCUAAAAAUUUUCUCACCACCUCCUAAGUGUGCACGCUGCCUUGCCUGCUCUGUGCAGGUGCUCGCGCCGCUCCCCAUCGGGUUCGCCGUGUUCAUGGUGCACCUGGCCACCAUCCCCAUCACCGGCACCGGCAUCAACCCUGCCCGGAGCAUCGGCGCCGCCGUCAUCUACAACCAGAAGAAGGCAUGGGACGACCACGUAAGCUGCCACCACCUUAUUUCGACCUCUCACUACAACACAAUCUGUUCUUGUGUUCGUUUUAUCAAGUUAAUGAUUUUUGCCUGCGUGCAGUGGAUCUUCUGGGCGGGGCCGUUCAUCGGAGCACUGGCGGCGGCGGCGUACCACCAGUACAUCCUCCGCGCGGCGGCCAUCAAGGCGCUCGGUUCCUUCCGGAGCAACCCCAGCAACUGAGCUCUAGAUAGCUGCUUCUGCUGCUGCUGCUGCUGCUGCUGCUGCUGCUGCUGCUGCUGCUGCUGCUGCUGCUGCUGCUGCUGCUGCUGCUGCUGCUGCUGCUGCUGCUGCUGCUGCUGCUGCUGCUGCUGCUGCUGCUGCUGCUGCUGCUGCUGCUGCUGCUGCUGCUGCUGCUGCUGCUGCUGCUGCUGCUGCUGCUGCUGCUGCUGCUGCUGCUGCUGCUGCUGCUGCUGCUGCUGCUGCUGCUGCUGCUGCUGCUGCUGCUGCUGCUGCUGCUGCUGCUGCUGCUGCUGCUGCUGCUGCUGCUGCUGCUGCUGCUGCUGCUGCUGCUGCUGCUGCUGCUGCUGCUGCUGCUGCUGCUGCUGCUGCUGCUGCUGCUGCUGCUGCUGCUGCUGCUGCUGCUGCUGCUGCUGCUGCUGCUGCUGCUGCUGCUGCUGCUGCUGCUGCUGCUGCUGCUGCUGCUGCUGCUGCUGCUGCUGCUGCUGCUGCUGCUGCUGCUGCUGCUGCUGCUGCUGCUGCUGCUGCUGCUGCUGCUGCUGCUGCUGCUGCUGCUGCUGCUGCUGCUGCUGCUGCUGCUGCUGCUGCUGCUGCUGCUGCUGCUGCUGCUGCUGCUGCUGCUGCUGCUGCUGCUGCUGCUGCUGCUGCUGCUGCUGCUGCUGCUGCUGCUGCUGCUGCUGCUGCUGCUGCUGCUGCUGCUGCUGCUGCUGCUGCUGCUGCUGCUGCUGCUGCUGCUGCUGCUGCUGCUGCUGCUGCUGCUGCUGCUGCUGCUGCUGCUGCUGCUGCUGCUGCUGCUGCUGCUGCUGCUGCUGCUGCUGCUGCUGCUGCUGCUGCUGCUGCUGCUGCUGCUGCUGCUGCUGCUGCUGCUGCUGCUGCUGCUGCUGCUGCUGCUGCUGCUGCUGCUGCUGCUGCUGCUGCUGCUGCUGCUGCUGCUGCUGCUGCUGCUGCUGCUGCUGCUGCUGCUGCUGCUGCUGCUGCUGCUGCUGCUGCUGCUGCUGCUGCUGCUGCUGCUGCUGCUGCUGCUGCUGCUGCUGCUGCUGCUGCUGCUGCUGCUGCUGCUGCUGCUGCUGCUGCUGCUGCUGCUGCUGCUGCUGCUGCUGCUGCUGCUGCUGCUGCUGCUGCUGCUGCUGCUGCUGCUGCUGCUGCUGCUGCUGCUGCUGCUGCUGCUGCUGCUGCUGCUGCUGCUGCUGCUGCUGCUGCUGCUGGUGCUCCACCCUGGCCUGGCUGGACUUGGUCAUAUCGUCACCAUCAUCGUCGAUUUGCAUGUUCGAGUGAGAGUGAGUGAGUGAGAAGGGUGGGGGGCGUGCCAGCCAGGGUGCACGAUUUGUUUGUUUCUUCCAGCUUAAAUUAUCACCGUUGUAACUUGUUGUUAAUUAAACCGGUGGGGAUCUCUUUGUUGUAUGUACCUCGAUUAAUUAGUUUUUGCUUGUUGUAAUCAGUGUUAGACGCACAACAAUGUCAGUUCAGUCGAUCGGCUACCCUUUGUAAAACCGCUGUAAGAACUU
rnacentral:lncRNA from 1 species